GCCACGGUGGUCUAGCGGUCAGAACGCUGGGCUUGUAUACCUGGGAUCCCGGGUUCGAUUCCCGGUUUUGCCC
rnacentral:tRNA from 1 species